rnacentral:rRNA from 1 species
UACGGAGGAUGCGAGCGUUAUCCGGAUUUAUUGGGUUUAAAGGGUGCGUAGGCGGACGCUUAAGUCAGCGGUAAAAUUGCGGGCUCAACCUCGUCGAGCCGUUGAAACUGGGUGCCUUGAGUGGGCGAGAAGUACGCGGAAUGCGUGGUGUAGCGGUGAAAUGCAUAGAUAUCACGCAGAACUCCGAUUGCGAAGGCAGCGUACCGGCGCCCAACUGACGCUGAAGCACGAAGGCGUGGGUAUCGAACAGG